GACGAACGCUGGCGGUGUGCUUAAUACAUGCAAGUCGAACGGACCCUUCGGGGUUAGUGGCGGACGGCUGAGUAACACGUAGGUAAUCUGCCCUUUUCUGGGGGACAACAGUGGGAAACCGCUGCUAAUACCGCAUAAGCCCGAGGUUGCAAUACCUUUGGUUAAAGAUUUAUCGGAAAAGGAUGAGCCUGCGUCUGAUUAGCUUGUUGGUAGGGUAAAGGCCUACCAAGGCGAUGAUCAGUAGUUGGUCNGAGAGGAUGACCAG
rnacentral:rRNA from 1 species